GUCUUAAUAAUUUAAUUAUGAAAAAUAUUGGUCUUGUAAGCCAAAAAUAAAGAUUCCUUUUUAAGACU
rnacentral:tRNA from 1 species